GAUGAACGCUGGCGGCGUGCCUAAUACAUGCAAGUCGAGCGAAUGGAUUAAGAGCUUGCUCUUAUGAAGUUAGCGGCGGACGGGUGAGUAACACGUGGGUAACCUGCCCAUAAGACUGGGAUAACUCCGGGAAACCGGGGCUAAUACCGGAUAACAUUUUGAACAGCAUGGUUCGAAAUUGAAAGGCGGCUUCGGCUGUCACUUAUGGAUGGACCCGCGCCGCAUUAGCUAGUUGGUGAGGUAACGGCACACCAAGGCAACGAUGCGUAGCCGACCAGAGAGGGUGAGCGGCCAAACUGGGACUGAGACACGGCCCAGACUCCUACGGGAGGCAGAAGUAGGGAAUCUUCCGCAAUGGACGAAAGUCUGACGGAGCAACGCCGCGUGAGUGAUGAAGGCUUUCGGGUCGUAAAACUCUGUUGUUAGGGAAGAACAAGUGCUAGUUGAAUAAGCUGGCACCUUGACGGUACCUAACCAGAAAGCCACGGCUAACUACGUGCCAGCCGCCGCAGUAA
rnacentral:rRNA from 1 species